rnacentral:rRNA from 1 species
UACGUAGGGUGCAAGCGUUGUCCGGAAUCAUUGGGCGUAAAGAGCGCGUAGGCGGUCCGGUAAGUCCGCUCUGAAAGCCCGGGGCUCAACCCCGGGAGGCGGGUGGAUACUGGUCAGCUCGAGUCCGGAAGAGGAGUGUGGAAUUCCUGGUGUAGCGGUGAAAUGCGCAGAUAUCAGGAGGAACACCAAUGGCGAAGGCAGCACUCUGGGACGGUACUGACGCUGAGACGCGAAAGCGUGGGGAGCAAACAGG